UCCUGGCUCAGGAUGAACGCUAGCGGGAUGCUUAACACAUGCAAGUCGAACGACCCUUCGGGGGAGUGGCAAACGGGCGAGUAACGCGUACUUAACCUACCCAGAAGUUGGGAACAACUACGGAGACGUAGCUAAUUCCCAAUGUUCCCUGCACUAUGAAAAAAUGCAGGGCAAAGAUUUAUCGCUUUUGGAGGGGGGUGCGUCCUAUCAGGUAGUUGGUGUGGUAAUAGCUCACCAAGCCUAUGACGGGUAGCCGGUCUGAGAGGAUGUCCGGCCGCAAUGGAACUGAGACACGGUCCAUACUCCUACGGGAGGCAGCAGUGGGGAAUCUUGCGCAAUGGGCGAAAGCCUGACGCAGCAAUCCCGCGUGAAGGAUGAAGCAUUAUGGUGUGUAAACUUCUUUUCUGGUGGAAGACGAAUGACGGUACACCAGGAAUAAGGGACGGCUAACUACGUGCCAGCAGCCGCGGUAAUACGUAGGUCCCAAGUGUUAUCCGGAAUUACUGGGCGUAAAGAGUCUGUAGCCGGGUUUGUAAGUCUGUUUUCAAAUCCUAUGGCUUAACCAUAGAGAGGGAAUGGAUACUGCAAACCUUGAGAUUAUUGGGGGUUGAUGGAAUUUCCGGUGGAGCGGUGAAAUGCGUCGAUAUCGGACGGAACGCCAAAAGUGAAAGCAGUCAACUACGAUAAAUCUGACG
rnacentral:rRNA from 1 species